GGGGGGGGGGCUUUAAGUGGUGCAGCACUUGCCUAGCAAGCAUGAGACCCUGGGUUCGAAUCCUAGUACUACCA
rnacentral:tRNA from 1 species